GACCUCGAAUCAGGUGGGACUACCCGCUGAACUUAAGCAUAUCAAUAAGCGGAGGAAAAGAAACUAACAAGGAUUCCCCUAGUAACGGCGAGUGAAGCGGGAUGAGCUCAAAUUUAAAAUCUGGCAGUCUUCGAUUGUCCGAGUUGUAAUCUAGAGAAGCGUUUUCCGCGCUGGACUGUGUACAAGUUUCCUGGAUACGGAACAUCAUAGAGGGUGAGAAUCCCGUCCUUGACACAGACUCCCAGUGCUCUGUGAUGCGCUCUCGACGAGUCGAGUUGUUUGGGAUUGCAGCUCAAAAUGGGAGGUAAAUUCCUUCUAAAGCUAAAUAUUGGCGAGAGACCGAUAGCGAACAAGUACCGUGAGGGAAAGAUGAAAAGCACUUUGGAAAGAGAGUUAAACAGUACGUGAAAUUGUUAAAAGGGAAACGCUUGAAGUCAG
rnacentral:rRNA from 1 species